CUCAGUUUCUCUGUACAUAGUGAACUAUAACCUAAAUGGAGGUCUAAAGAGACUGUAUAACCUACUUUUGUGCAGUCACCAAGUUUUGGCCAGUCAAAGGGGACCGACUGUUCAAACCAUGUUCAAAUAAGGCAAAUGGCAAGCUGUAACCAAUUUGGCUGUUUGUGUACCACACUUCCAUUUUCUGUACAUCACUUUUCUUCUUCUGUCCAUAAAUCUUCCACAACAUGGCUGUGCUGGAGUCUCUCUGAAUGUACUCUGGUUGGAGAGACUGCCCAAUUUGUGAAUAGUUCUUCACUCAAUUAAUCUCAGUUAAAUUUGGCUAAGCAUUUUCUUUCAACAGGUGGUGUCAGAAGUGGGAUUUGAAGUAGAGCUUCCAGAAACUUCCAGGAGCACUGAGUGACCAGGCAAGGUAUCUGCCAGGCCCACUGUGUGGAUUGUGCUCUUGCAGCAACUGGGGAUCAUGGCUUUUUCAUUUGGGUAAAUGAACUGACUCCAGCCAGACUUGUGACUCAUACCAAGGAACUCACUCAACUGGUCCUGUGACCUCACCCAGAAACUGACUCAGCACAUGAAGACAGUUUGGAUAUUCCUAUAAUUUCAUCUCCAACCAAUCAGCAGCACCUGUCAUCUAGCCCCCUGCCCUCCAAAUUAUCCUUAAAAACCCUAGCCUCCAAGCUCUCAGAGAGGCAGAAUUGAAAAAAAUCUCCCAUCCUUCCACUCCCCUUGAAAUAAUUAAACUCCUUCUCUUAUAUGAAAC
rnacentral:lncRNA from 1 species